UACUAGCGGUCCAAGUCGCAGCCAUUUUUAUUGGGUCUAAAACAUCCGUAGCUUGUUUGAUAAGUUUCUUGUGAAAUCUGAUUUCUUAAGAAUUGGGCGUGCAGGAAAUACUGUCAAGCUAGAGAUUGGGAGACGUAAGAAGUACGUUCGAAGUAGCGGUAAAAUGUUUUAAUCUCGAACGGACUCACAAUAGCGAAGGCAUCUUACGAGAACAGUUCUGACAGUAAGGGAUGAAGGCUAGGGGCGCAAAACGGAUUAGAUACCCCCGUA
rnacentral:rRNA from 1 species